ACUGGGUAUGGUAGCAGAUGCCUGUAAUCCCAGCUACUCAGGAGGCUGAGGCAGGAGGAUUGUAAAUUCUAAGUUAGCCUAGGCAACUUAGUGAGACCCUGUCUCAA
rnacentral:sRNA from 1 species